rnacentral:rRNA from 1 species
CAGUCGACGAUGAAGUCCUAGCUUGCUAGGAUGGAUUAGUGGCGCACGGGUGCAGUAAUAUAUAGUUAAUCUGCCCUACACAGAGGAACAACAGUUGGAAACGACUGCUAAUACCUCAUACUCCUAUUUGGCAUAAGUUAAAUAGGGAAAGUCUUUUCGGUGUAGGAUGAGACUAUAUCGUAUCAGCUAGUUGGUAAGGUAAUGGCUUACCAAGGCUAUGACGCGUAACUGGUCUGAGAGGAUGAUCAGUCACAUUGGAACUGAGACACGGUCCAAACUCCUACGGGAGGCAGCAGUAAGGAAUAUUGCGCAAUGGGGGAAACCCUGACGCAGCAACGCCGCGUGGAGGAUGACACUUUUCGGAGCGUAAACUCCUUUUAUCAGGAAAGAAUAAUGACGGUACCUGAUGAAUAAGCACCGGCUAACUCCGUGCCAGCAGCCGCGGUAAUACGGGGGGUGCAAGCGUUACUCGGAAUCACUGGGCGUAAAGGACGCGUAGGCGGAUUAUCAAGUCUUUUGUGAAAUCUAGUGGCUUAACCACUAAACUGCUUAGGAAACUGAUAGUCUAGAGUAGGGGAGAGGUAGAUGGAAUUCUUGGUGUAGGGGUAAAAUCCGUAG